AUCAUUCGUUUUUGUAGCAGAAGCGAUGGCGUGCCUCUAGGCGAUUCAGCUAGGGUUAACUCUCGGACUGCUGGGAGUUGUAAUUGAAGGAGACGCUCAUUUGGUGAUUUGUAAACUGCAAGCAGAAGAAUCAAACAAGGUUGCUCAUAUCCUAGCUACAGAGGGAAUCAAGAGGAGGGAGACCACUUAUCUAAUCAAUGUUUUUCCUUCUUUUGCAUUGGAGGAGGUGGACGUUGAUCGGAGAUGGACGAAAUCUCUGAACGGAAGAAGAUGAAGAAGAGCCCUAGAGAGAUUGAAUCUGAAAUGGAAUGGGUAGGUGAGGAGAUGAUUAAAGGUGCGUGAUGAAGAAGGUUUUUGUUUCUGAUGGAAGAUUUGAUGGCCAGUAACGAUAAUAACUUUCUUUGAGGUUUCCCUAGGUUAAUUUGUUGUUUUUCAGGGAGGGGGUUAAUUAAUCGAUUACAGUUGGAAUAGUUUGAUGUCUCUAGAGUUACCUCCGAAUAUCAAACUGGAUCCAGGCUUUGUUUUCUUUUCACUUUUUGGUCUAUGUCCUUUAUUGUCUUUGAACCUUUUUAACUUAGUUUGUAAGUCCUUUUGGACAUGUUUAAUUAUUAAAUAAAGGAUCCAGGUAUUUCUUUCAAAAAAAAA